rnacentral:rRNA from 1 species
AAAUUGAAGAGUUUGAUCAUGGCUCAGAUUGAACGCUGGCGGCAGGCCUAACACAUGCAAGUCGAACGGUAACAGGAAGCAGCUUGCUGUUUCGCUGACGAGUGGCGGACGGGUGAGUAAUGUCUGGGAAACUGCCUGAUGGAGGGGGAUAACUACUGGAAACGGUAGCUAAUACCGCAUAAUGUCGCAAGACCAAAGAGGGGGACCUUCGGGCCUCUUGCCAUCGGAUGUGCCCAGAUGGGAUUAGCUUGUUGGUGGGGUAACGGCUCACCAAGGCGACGAUCCCUAGCUGGUCUGAGAGGAUGACCAGCCACACUGGAACUGAGA